rnacentral:rRNA from 1 species
CCCUUAGAUGUUCUGGGCCGCACGCGCGCUACACUGACGAUGGCAACGAGUUUUUCCUUCGCCGAAAGGUGUGGGUAAUCUUUUGAAACAUCGUCGUGCUGGGGAUAGAUCAUUGCAAUUUUUGAUCUUGAACGAGGAAUUCCUAGUAAGCGCGAGUCACCAGCUCGCGUUGAUUACGUCCCUGCCCUUUGUACACACCGCCCGUCGCUACUACCGAUUGAAUGGUUUAGUGAGGACUCCUGAUUGGCGCCGCCGCCCCGGCAACGGAGCAGCGGACUGCCGAAAAGUUGUUCAAACUUGAUCAUUUAGAGGAAGUAAAAGUCGUAACA